UACGUAGGCAGCGAGCGUUGUUCGGAAUUACUGGGCGUAAAGAGUGUGUAGGCGGUGCUCUAAGUUCGGUGUGAAAUCUCCUGGCUCAACUGGGAGGGUGCGCCGGAAACUGGAGUGCUUGAGCGUGGGAGAGGAAAGCGGAAUUCCUGGUGUAGCGGUGAAAUGCGUAGAUAUCGGGAGGAACACCGGUGGCGAAGGCGGUUCUCUGGGCCUGUACUGACGCUGAGGAGCGAAAGCGUGGGGAGCGAACAGG
rnacentral:rRNA from 1 species